rnacentral:sRNA from 1 species
GCUGGGCGUGGUGGCACGCGCCUGUAAUCCCAGCUACUUGGGAGGCUGAGGCAGGAGAAUCGCUUGAACCCAGGAGGCAGAGAUUGCAGUGAGCCGAGAUCAUGCCACUGCAUUCCAGCCUGGGCAACAGAGCAAGACUCUGUCUCAA